AUUUUUCGGCUUAAACAAGGUAAGAACCGAAUAUAUUUACUUUUACAGGUUGGUAAUCACUGUACGAAGUUGUGAUAACAUACCAUGGAGUGUGAAGCGACUAAAUUGUCAUUGAUGCUGGUUGAGGCAAGUGUGGUAGGCCUGCAUCCAAAAUAUGUAACCACAUUUUAUAUAACAGUAUAAUUAUUAUUACAUAUCCAAUUAAUACUAUAAUUACUAUUACAAAUUCAUUUAGUAGAAAUUAUAACAAUAUUGUAGAGAAGCAGAACCUUUUUUACUAUUGUGGUCUAGCUCUCCCGCCUGCAUAGAGCGGUUAGACUGUCCGCAUGUUUUACAGGGGGAAAGGAAAUAAAAUCGUUGUCGUGGUCCCUGAGUAAUUUGGGACCCGUAACACAACCUGUUAAUUACGUUCAUGUUUGAGUGGCAACUUAUUUAUCUGGCCAAAUAUCAAGUGUUAAGGUAAAAUAAAGUUGUUUAAGAGUAGGCCUUACACCUGAGGUGGAUUAACUAAAGUUAUUUUUAUUUAAAUGGUUGUUUUGUAAAAUUUAAAACUGCUUGAAAAUGGGAUGUUGUUGCGCUGAUGUUAAAUGAACGAGUCUCAAAUAGAUCGGUUCCCCUCGUUCAUAAAGAGCUGAAUCGGGUCGUUGGUUAACGUUACAUCACAAGCAGGAUGCAAAAAUACUGUUAACAUCUUGCCGCCUGCUCCGUUUUGGAGGUCAGAACACGUUACAAUUCCUAAAAGAGACGGUUUGUUCUUUGCUUCAGUGGAGCACAAUGGGCCCAUCUCGGUCUCAGAAAUGAAUUCCUUGCAUCUGAUAAAGUUUAACAGCCAUGUUUCUCCACCUUUUCCACAAGCUGCAGUAUAAAGAUGUGGCAAUGUUGUUCAAGGUGAAGUACCAGAAUACCAAGAAGUACAUCCGGCUACUGUCAGGCUUCACCUUUUUGGAUUUCAUCGCUCAAGUCAGAUACAAGUUUGGCCUUCCUGAUGCCACUGAGCUUGAUGGUUUUGAUGAAACCAACACAGUAGUUGAAGAAGAUAUAUUUUCUGAACCGAUAGAGGCCAGUCCAGAUAUAUGCCUGACACUGAAUUCCUGAUACGGGAGCACUUCUAUGAUGCAGAGAAAGGCACUGGAUAUUUAGCAUGGCGCCUUAAGACUAUGUCCAGAAAUGCCGAAGAUUGGAAGCCACUUUGCCUGAGCAGCUUGAUGGAGAUGCCUGCAGGGAAGCCAUAUCAUUUCUCAUUCAUUCUCAGGAUAAGGCAAGUGUGUUUCAGAAGAUGACCUUUCAAUAUCACCAAGACCUUGUGCAUGACCCACAGAGAACCACAAAUGUCUUUAAAACAUUUCCACGUUUUUUAGAUUUCAAAGGGCUGCUGAAAGAAGACUUCCUUCUGCUGUUUGGAGUUGAAACAACCUCCAAGAUGCUUGAAAAGUGGGACACAACUUUCAGGCCCAAGGUUAUCAAUGAGGCAAAACACCUGACUCAGUCAACUGAGCUAUGCCGACCUCUAAAAGCUGCUGAGAAACUGACAGAGAACGAUGACACCAGGGGGCUAAUCAACAUGAUUUUGUUUUGGGAUUUUUUUUUUAUGACGAUAAUGGCUUGUUUCACCUCAUUGUCCUCCUGAGAGGCUGGGACAGUGACAUGGCGUCUCUGCUGCUACUCUUCCAUCUCCUGCAACCCACAACUGGAUGGAAGAGGACCAAGAUAAACACCAGUGAUGCAGUGGACAAAAGCAUACUUUCCCAAGUCAUGCUGCAGCUUGGAUGAACACCUUCAGAGAACAGAUGGUAGACAACCAUAUAUCCUUGCUGUUGGUCGAAUCAGGAACAGGAUUGACACUUUCUACAUUGUUUUGGACAAACAGCUCAUCCCCUGCCAAGCCACUAGCUCGCUGGGUGCAUUUGAUGAACUGUUUAAAUCCCACUACGUGUUCAAUCUGUCAUACGAUGAGUACCUGGGCCAGCUCUUCACCUUCAUGAAAACCACAGUCUACAAUACCGAUGUAGCAACAACAAAUGAAUCUCCCAGAGUUCGUGAGUUUUGAGCUAAAGUCUUCAACUAAAGUACUUAAAUGUUGUAAGUGUUUCAUUUGUCAAGCUUUGGAUGUUCCUUGCCAGACCAUGAUCUCUCAUUAAAGACUUGACCACAGUUUUUAUCCUAGCACCAGGUUUAAGUUGGUUUGUGCACAAGAUUGUUGUAGGUAUCAGUUUUUUAUCCUAUUCAGGUUUCAAAAAACAUUUAAUUCGUUCUCAUAAGAAGGUUUCUUCUAAUGAUGGAGAUGCAGCAAGGCCAGGGUCAUUUGAAACUAAUUUCCACAUGCUCCAAGAUACCUCAGAGGUUGCUGGAACAAGUGUCAUGCAGAACACAGUCUUUUGAUGACAAUGGAUCAGGCAAAAGAAACAAAAGACAGAAAAUAUUUGUGCUUCAAUUAUUGCUAAACUACAAGGAAGUGACAUGCAAAUAGUGUUGUUCCAUCAGUUGUUGGUGAUUUCGAAGAUCUUUCUACUGAACUGCACUCUCAGGUGCAGUUCAGGUUAAAGAUUUCUAGGAAUUCGAUUUGAUAGGCGAAAUAAACAAACAGGUACUUAUGAUCAAGUCCCAGUGAACAUUACAUUUGUUUACAUACCAAUUUUGGAAACUAUAAAAUUCAUUAGCCAAAACACUGAUAUUUGUAAUCUGCUAGGGGAAACUUGUACAUCAAAACCAGACAGAUACGAAGACUUUUGUGAUGGAAGUUAUUCUAAGACACAUCCAUUGUUCUCUAAACACCAGAAUUCUUUACAAAUCCAGUUGUUCUAUGAUGACUUGGAGACUGCUAACCCACUGGGUUCAAAACGCGGUGUUCACAAAAUAGGUGCUUUGAAUUUUGUCCUCAAAAAUCUGCCACCAAAGUUCAACUCUGCUCUGAUCAAUAUUCAUUUGGUUGCACUGUUUCACACUAAAGAUUUUAAAAAAUAUGUCUUUUAUCCUAUUCUAGAGCCACUGAUUAAUGACAUCAAAACACUUGAGAGUUGUGGCCUUGAUUUGCAAUUUUCUGCAUAAAAAGUCCUUGGCAAUAUAUACAAGGUAACUGGGGACAACUUGGGGCUGCACACAAAUCUAGGAUUUACAGAAUUUUCAGUGGAUGCAAUUUUUGUUGUUUAUGUUUGAUAGAAAAGAUGAUGCCAAGAAUGUUUACAAUGAGGAUGACCCCAAAAUAAUCUUGCCUGGAUAGGAACUUUUUGAAAUGCACUGCAAUGAAUUGCAGUCAGACCCACAUAAGCAAUCUGUAUUUGGUUUAAAAAAGAAGUCGUCUCUUAACAACAUACAGUUCUUUCAUGUUUGUCAUAAUUUUUCUUUGGACAUUAUGCAUGACAUUCUUGAAGGUGUGGCUCAGUAUGAGCUGAAAUUACUGCUGUAAUAUCUCUCAGAAACUGUUUUGUUGAAACCUGAUCUGUUGUCUAGAAUUUAUGCCUUUGACCAUGGGUAUGUGGAGCGUAAAAAAUCAACCUACAGGGAUUAACUUGGACAGUAGUGGCAAUAAUAUAGGGCUCAAUUCCAUUCAGACUCUUUUUCUUGUAAUAAACGUUCCUCUACUUUUUGGUGACAUUGUGCCAGAAGGAAACCAAAACUGGGUUUUGCUGCUGCUUUUACAGCAGAUAAUGUACAUUAUUUUUUUCUCCAUCUGUAACAUUUGGCAUGACUCUGCUUCUUAAGCAUUUGAUAAUGGAACAUCAUGAGUUGUUUAAAGAGCUGUAUCCCGAUAAAUACCUGAUCCCGAAACAUCACUUCAUGAUACACUACCCAUCUUGUAUCUGAAAAAUUGGACCACUAAUACAUAUGUGGAGCAUGAGAUUUGAGGCAAAACCGGGACUUUUAAAAAUACUUUAAAAAAACUUAGAAAACAUCACAAAAUCUCUUGCAAAAAACAUCAAAUGUCUAUUGCAUGUCAUUGGGAGACAUCAUGUUCAAAAUGUAUGGAGUUUGGACCAAUGAAAUCUAUUUAUGUUGACAAUGAGGACUAUGGCGAUCUGUUGCUCAAGCUUUGCAUGUUGAGUCUGUAUUACAAGACAUCCAUGCAACUAACUGGGUUACAAUCAGUUGGACAGAGUACAGAGCAGGACUAAUAAUUUGCAGUGAGACUGAACAUGAAAUGCCUGUGUUUUGCAGAAUAGAAAAAAAUUAUUGUUGUUGAUGGUGUUAUCUGCUACCUUGUAAACAAGCUUGUGGUUGACCAUUUCUGUGAACAUUUUCAUGUGUACAAAGUAUUUGAAAGUAAUUACAAAGAUGUUGUUAAAGCAGAUAGUCUUGUGAUUUAUAAGCCCUUUAAUUUACAAAGUGCUUAUGGUGGAGAUGAGAGCCAAUAUAUUGUGCCAUUAUUUUGUUUGUAAAUAGUUGUCAUGUCUGAUCUUAUUUUGCUAAUUCCUAUGGUGCUGCAAAAGUGAUUUACUCUUUUCAUUAAAAAAAAAAGUUUUUUUUUUUUUACUUGCCUACUGUUGCUGGUCAACACACUUGAAUUUAUGAUGUAACUGUAAAGAGUGUGUUGUGUAUGUUCUGUAACCUUGCAGGUGACUACUGAAUUUUCAGAUUUGGUGACCUUUGUUAGGGUAGACCACACAGAAUGCACUCUUAAUGUAUUGUAAAACAAUGAAUGUUAACAUAUUAGUGAAAGGAAAUGACACCAUUUUUGUGUGAAAAUACACUUCAGUGUGUCAUAAAAUAACACAAUGUAUGUUAGUUUUUUUUAACACAGUGAAAAAGAAUAACACAAUUUUGAGUUAAACGUGCACUUAUGUGGUGUCAUAAUCCUACUUUAUUGUCAUUAGCAGCUAACAGUUUGCUGUGUUUUAUAGUGUUCUCAUCAUAGGCCACAGACUGAAAGCUUGUAGCAACAGGUAGGAAACAAAACACACAACUGUCUUUAGCACCUCAUUAUAAACAAUUUAAAUUGCAGGCCAUUUAUCAGACAGGAUUUCAUUUGUGUUAAUACCAUGGAUUUUUAAUAUCUUCAUAAGAUAAGAUAAGCUUUGUCUGAAGGAAAUUUAUCUUGAAUACAAACACUGGCUACUGCUUAAAUAUAAAAUCUAAUAAAUAAAUACAAUGAAAACAUAAA